AUUGAACGCUGGCGGCAGGCCUAACACAUGCAAGUCGAGCGGAUGAUGGGAGCUUGCUCCUGGAUUCAGCGGCGGACGGGUGAGUAAUGCCUAGGAAUCUGCCUGGUAGUGGGGGACAACGUUUCGAAAGGAACGCUACUACCGCAUACGUCCUACGGGAGAAAGCAGGGGACCUUCGGGCCUUGCGCCAACUGAUGAGCCUAGGUCGGAUUAGCUUGUUGGUGCGGUAAUGGCUCACCAAGGCGACGAUCCGUAACUGGUCUGGGAGGAUGAUCAGUCACACUGGAACUGAGACACGGUCCAGACUCCUACGGGAGGCAGCAGUGGGGAAUAUUGGACAAUGGGCGAAAGCCUGAUCCAGCCAUGCCGCGUGUGUGAAGAAGGUCUUCGGAUUGUAAAGCACUUUAAGUUGGGAGGAAGGGUUGCAGAUUAAUACUCUGCAAUUUUGACGUUACCGACAGAAUAAGCACCGGCUAACUCUGUGCCAGCCGCCGCAGUAAUAC
rnacentral:rRNA from 1 species